rnacentral:lncRNA from 1 species
CAUGUGCCAGCUGGGUAAGGUCUAAGACCUCUGGAAAGGCAAGGAUUUCCAGGCCCUCUUGUUCUGAGCCUGGACAUGCAGGUAAAGGAGAAGCAAGAAGAGAGGGAGGAAGAGACAGGCACCCAGAGAGAGUUGGGAGGACCAUCUCAGUGCUCAGAGCUCCAGGGGCAGCAAAGGGCAUCUGUCAGGCCAGCCCUCUCAAACAUAGGAACAGAUCACAGCAGUGAUGUGUUUCUAUCUGUGACUGUGAUCGCUUUGACCUUGCCAGGAUGGGAGACGCCAACCCCGUGCUUGUCAGUCUCUCCUGAAGGUCUAACGCCGGCCACCCUGCAGUGCAGAUCACAGGUCUGCCAGUGAAAUAAUGGAAACUUUCCGGGAGCAAGAAGCUAAAAGAUUUUUGUCAAGACAAAUGCUCGGCAUAAGGAAAAUGAAGGUAAAUUAACUAACACCAGAGACCACAGCUGCUAGGUCAAUGUAGGAUGAGCUGUAAGAAACAAGUGACAUCGUGAAGCCCUGGUACUGGACAAGAAGUUAAUGUUUAUAUUGAGAACAGCCAUGCCAGGAAGUUCCAAUGCUCUGGGUGCAGCUUAGUCCACAAGAUGUGGUGAAAUGAGCAAUGGUUGGGGUCACUAACUGGCUAAACAACGCUCGCGAGUCACUUCAUCACUCUGGAUCUUGGUUUCCUCCUUGGCAAAGAAUUUCCUGACUGUCAACAAGCCAGGUUGCUGUGACACUGAAAUCCUAUAGGCUGGACUAGAAAUUCUUUGAGGCCAGAGGCUGUGGUUUGCGUUUCCCCUGAAUCUCCUACAGCUUCCAACACAAUGCUGAACAUAGUCAUCUGAGGCCACUGUGACAUGGAGAAAGUCCUAUAUAAAUCAGCCUUGUAAAUCUGAAAAUCUAUGAAGAAGUAGCUCAGGAGGGAAAUUUUUUUAAUCAUAACUCCAGGUUAAGAACACUUGGGGUUGAAAUGGUUGAAUGAGAAG